rnacentral:rRNA from 1 species
CGGCCCAAACUCCUACGGGAGGCAGCAGUGGGGAAUAUUGCACAAUGGGGGAAACCCUGAUGCAGCGACGCCGCGUGAGUGAGGAAGUAUUUCGGUAUGUAAAGCUCUAUCAGCAGGGAAGAAAAUGACAAAUACCUGACUAAGAAGCCCCGGCUAACUACGUGCCAGCAGCCGCGGUAAUACGUAGGGGGCAAGCGUUAUCCGGAUUUACUGGGUGUAAAGGGAGCGUAGACGGAAUUGCAAGUCUGAUGUGAAAAUCCGGGGCCCAACCCCGGAACUGCAUUGGAAACUGUAUUUCUAGAGUGUCGGAGAGGCAAGUGGAAUUCCUGGUGUAGCGGUGAAAUGCGUAGAUA